rnacentral:rRNA from 1 species
GGCCUGUGCAGCCAUGCCGCGUGUAUGAAGAAGGCUCUUCGGGUUGUAAAGUACUUUCAGCGGGAGAGGGGCCUUGGUUAAUAACCUCAGCAAUUGACGUUACCGAGAAAAAGGACCGGCUAACUCCGUGCCAGCAGCCGCGGUAAUACGGAGGGUGCAAGCGUUAAUCGGAAUUACUGGGCGUUCAAAAGCACAGAGGCGGUCUGUCAAGUCGGAUGUGAAAUCCCCGGGCUCAACCUGGGAACUGCAUUCGAAACUGGCAGGCUGAGUCUUGUAGAGGGGGGUAGAAUUCCAGGUGUAGCGGUGAAAUGCGUAGAGAUCUGGAG